rnacentral:snRNA from 1 species
GUGCUCACUUUGGCUGCACAAAUACUAAGUUGGAAUAAUGCGGAGAUGUUUAGCAUGGCCUGUGCAAGGCUGACAGUCAAGUUUGAGAAGUGUUCCAUGUUUUU